rnacentral:lncRNA from 1 species
UUCCUUUUGUUUAGAUUAGUAGAAAAAAUUAGAGAAAAACGACCGAGAGUUUAAGAAUUGCCCAAGAGCGUGUGAGCACCGUGCAAAUAUGCAUAAAUGGCCAUCAUUUUGCAUUUAGUAUUAAUAAUUUUGAAAGAUCUUUCUCGAUCUAAUCAACCAAAUACGAAUUGAAUGGUUUUUCAUUCUCUUCAAAUCUCUAUUAUGUUUUACUAAAUGCAGAGGAUUUUCAUCGAGUCAUUUACUUUAUAAUUCAUUCAAUUUCACAUUUUUGUGAUGAUUGAGAGAACUAUAUCGUUAUCAUGGAAAAAAGAGAACAUAGUUAUCCAACGUAUCCUAAUUCUGACUCGUAUUCCAUCCUUCCUUGUGACUUUCGUUUCUAUCCAUAUCCCCUUCAUUGAACCAUAAGAUUACGUAUAUUAUUGAUCUAGGGUUGAUACAGUGUUAGGGAAGAUGGUAAUAAGGAGAAUAGACUAUAUGAUCUAGUUGCAAACGUGAGCAUAGUCACAUAGGCUAAUUAAAGUGGAUAUUCUCUUGUGCACUCAACUUUGAGUCUCCUUUCUUGCAAUUUAAAUUAGUUUAAAGUAUAAAAUAUUAUUUUAUAUAUAAAAAUACAACUUGUACGAUCUAGUUUAGAUGGAUCACAUAAGCUUCGAAGGGAAAGUUUGGACAUAACACGUCUAAAACUAAUUGAGGAUUAUAGUAUGAGAGCAUCAUUUUGGGGUUUUUUGGGGUUUCUAAGCCUACAAAUUGCAUUUGAGCGAACAAACAAGCAACUGAUUUCGCCGGCAGCAAAAACAAAGUGAGUGAAAACCUUGGGGAGGUUUCACCAAAUUCUGUAACUUUCAGCUCACACAUACCCAUCUAUUACAGUUAAAGUUCAAUUUUUUUUUUAACAAACUAUGUUAUCUAUACUAAAGAGUUGGAAGUGAGCUAAGCUUUACAAUAUGACUAGCAAUAAUAUAGUUCAAAUUCGUCUUUGGUAAGAAUCAAACUUAAAACCUCUCAGUUACAAGUGCAAAGGAAUACUUAAAGUUCAAAUUAAAUUAACAAAAUUAGCUUAAAAACUAGUGAUAUAUUUCUCUUUCUACUAUUUGAAAAGUCUUUAAAUUAGGAUCCCUAUAUGACCCGUUGUUAGAAACCAAUCCCAACUAAAUUAAUAUUAAUUUGAAGUGAUCACAAGACUAAUGGUAGGGAUAAACACCAAAACAAAUGUUAAUUGUCAUUUGUAAUAAAAAGAAAACCCAACACUUGUACAGUGUUCAAAUCCACCCCAUUCUUUACGUCCUAGCUUACGUCACGCUGAGGUGAGAAAGGAUGAAUGCUUGCUUCUCUAAAUUACCAAUUAAUUAUCGAUUAAUGCUACAAUUAUCACCCAUUUGUAACAUUUCUAUAAUAAAGAUAGCGUAUUUGAACAUAUGUGGAUCUCAUUCCUAUUAAAGAGAUGAUACAAAUAAAGGAAAACUAAUGAAAAUGGUUUGAAAAUUUUGAGUUUUAACAAUAAGGACAAAAUAAAGGGUAAAGUGAAUAGUACCAGGAUUUACUUUUUAGUGUAAAAAUGUAGUUAUUCGUUAAAGUAAACAGUACCGGAAAUUUUUCGUUAAUGUUCCCUACAAAUAAUGGUACAAAUAAAUAAUAAAAAUAGUAUUUUUGUUAAUCCUCCUAAUCUUCAGUAAAAUUCCACAUUUGGUGACAAUUUGAUUGGUGAGAGGAUUCUCACCGGAUCUUCUUUGUGAGAAUCCCAUAAAUCAUCCAAUCACAUCCGCUCAUCGUAUAUCAUGAGGUUAGUUUUCAUCAGGUACUGUUUAUAUUUAAUUUUAAAUAAAAAAUUUACAAAUAAUUUCUAACCACAAGAUGUACAAUGAAGGGAUGUGAUUUGAGAAUCUCUAGAAUCCUCACAAAAAAUAUCCGAAGAGGAUUCUCAUUUAUAACAUGAUUACUAACCCGUUAUCGGAAUGAGAAUAAGGAAUCCAAUUCCGAUUACGGAUUAUACAUGUGUUUACUAAAAUUGGGAGGAAUCAAAAGCACAUGGGGCCCACACAAAAAAUGGAAUCCAAUUCCUGAAAUUGGAGGAUUUGGAUUCCCAACAUAUACAAGGUAUUUGGAUUCCGGAUUGCCCAAUGCAAUCGGAAUGAUAGUUUUUUCCCUUUAUACCCUCACUUUCAUUAUUUCCAAGAUUAUCCUUUUAACCCAACUCCUAACAAUCUCUUUCCAUAUCCUUCUAGCUCAUUAAGCAUAAUUAUAUGCUCAUUCACAUUAUGCACAACUCCAUACAUAUGUUGAAGAGAAAAAACUACAACUUGAGCGAGAAAAUUUAGAUAUUAAAGUCAAUAAUUAAAUUUAUAAAAAAAUAAACAAAAUCAUUUUAGUAUGUCUAUGAAAUAAAAAAGCAAUUUAAUUUUUUCUUACUAUUAUAUACUAUGUCAAAUUUUAUUAAAAAAAGUAUAUAAAAUAUUUGAUUUGAGACAAGGGCAUUUUAGUAAUCAUAGUAGUUUAUAUUCCAAUUUUGCUGAAUUAGUAAACAGCUUUAUAGAAUUAUAUUUCGAUUCCGGACAGUUUUAGUAAACAACUUCAACAGGAAUCUGAUUUUGAUUCCACCUCAUUUCAAUUCCUCCUCAAUCUAAUUUCCCAUCAAUUCAAUUCCUCUCAAUUUGAUUACGAAUUAGUAAACGCACUAUUAUUUGAUUGGUCAUGCUUUUCCCACAUAUAAUAUAUAUUAUAUUUGCAUGCGGGUCCCACCAACGACCUUUUACUUUCCAUAUCUGUUGAUUUCGCAUCGGUGCUUGCAAUUUUUGGUAGUUUAUUGGUCGUUU